CGCUGAGCUCCAUGGAAUUUCUGUGCCAAGAGUUUUGCUUGCCCAUUAAGCAGUACCAGGAAGAUAAUUUUCCAGACUUCACCACCAUGCACAUUAGCUGCGGGUCGCCACCUCCGUCAGGUUAACUGGAGGAGUAGUCUUGCCGUGAAGUCACAAGAAGAUAGAGGCAUGCAUCUGGAGAGAGGACGAGUUAUCAACACAGACUCUGAUGAUGAACAACCUCAUGUAAAAGUACCAGGAGGAGUAGUCUUGCCAUGAAGUCACAAGAAGAUAGAGGCAUGCAUCUGGAGAGAGGACGAGUUAUCAACACAGACUCUGAUGAUGAACAACCUCAUGUAAAAGUACCAGGAGGAGUAGUCUUGCCGUGAAGUCACAAGAAGAUAGAGGCAUGCAUCUGGAGAGAGGACGAGUUAUCAACACAGACUCUGAUGAUGAACAACCUCAUGUAAAAGUACCAGGAGGAGUAGUCUUGCCGUGAAGUCACAAGAAGAUAGAGGCAUGC